GCCCAGACUCCUACGGGAGGCAGCAGUGGGGAAUAUUGCACAAUGGGGGAAACCCUGAUGCAGCGACGCCGCGUGAGUGAAGAAGUAAUUCGUUAUGUAAAGCUCUAUCAGCAGGGACGAAAAUGACGGUACCCUGCAAGAAAGCUCCGGCUAACUACGUGCCAGCAGCCGCGGUAAUACGUAGGGAGCAAGCGUUGUCCGGAAUUACUGGGUGUAAAGGGAGCGUAGGCGGGAGGAUAAGUUGAAUGUGAAAUCCAUGGGCUCAACCCAUGGCUGCGUUCAAAACUGUUCUUCUUGAGUGAAGUAGAGGCAGGCGGAAUUCCUAGUGUAGCGGUGAAAUGCGUAGAUAUUAGGAGGAACACCAGUGGCGAAGGCGGCCUGCUGGGCUUUUACUGACGCUGAGGCUCGAAAGCGUGGGUAGCAAACAGGAUUAGAUACCCGUGUA
rnacentral:rRNA from 1 species